rnacentral:ncRNA from 1 species
CAAGCUGAGGCAGGAGAGAUCGGCCGUGGCCGACGCCGAAGGAGCAACCCCCCGGAACCUCUCAGGCAAAAGGACUGCAAUCAGCGC